GUAACCACCUAAACUGUACAAGGCCCUCAUUUCAAGUUGUGCUUUUGCUGCUGGUUCCAUCAGUUUUUAGAUAGUGUUACUAUUUUUAAUUUGUUUAAGGUGCAUGGCAGAUGAGCAGGGGGCUGUAAAAGCUAAUUUCUGAGUCAGCAGGGCUAACUUGUCCUAACUCGGUCUUGAUGUUUUUCUUUCUGCCUGACAGUUAAAGGAGCGCUAACUACAAUUAUGGAUUAGCUGGAUGAUCUCACAGUAUCUGUCUUGAAUGCUGCCAACAUAGACGAGGCCUUGCUCCACAUCCUCAGUCGUGACGACUUGGGAGACCUUCUUCCAGGACCAGAAAACAUUAUUAGGAGGAAACAAGUAUGGGCUCUUAUUAGCCUCGAGAAUGAGAAUCCUACCCUACCAGCUAAAAGGUGGCGAAACGGGAACUGUGUAUUCCCCUAGAGGGGCGUCACCAAUUAGUCCCCACACAUCAACUACUUUGGUGAAGAAAAGCCCAAAGAAGACCCUACAACUUCCCAGUCCACCAGAAUAUGUGGUCUACACAGAAAGCUCACUGGUUGUCUACACAUGCCAUGCUCUGCCUGCAUGGUUUCAUUUCUGAAAUUAGUCACCCCCCUGUCCGCAUUGUGUCUGAAUUUGCUGGAGGCAAAUUUGUCUUCAAAGUACCUGCAAAGAAACCAGCAUCUUCAAAUAGUGUGCGAGGUGAGAUAUUUUUUGUGGAUCUCCACUCACUUAUC
rnacentral:lncRNA from 1 species